GAGCAUCAAUUCCGGAAUCUUUCCGUUGGCGUUAGAGAUUACCAUCAAACAUGGAGUUUAUUGAGCUUCAGUCUCUAAAAUCACACCAGCAUUUGGGUUUCUCUCGCUUACCUAACCUACGUGAUUCUGUUUCUUUUUUACACUUUGCUCCCAUGUUCUUAGCUAUGAAUGAUACACCAUCUGUGACAACUGAAAAGUCAGUAUUCCAUUAUAUAUCGUCCAUCUUUAUCUUGUACUCCAUUUUUUUUUAUUUAUUCAUCAUUUUGAAGAGUGUCGGUCUUGCUGAAUCUACUGGUUGAUUAACCCGGGGUUUGGAUUAAUGGUUUAUGGGCAUUGCGCUUUAAUCAUGGGCCUUCUCUCGAUAUUUGACAGUUUGGCCUGAGCAUGGUGCAGAAAGUGAAAUUUGUUCAGCCAUUUUAGUUUGAUGGUUGGCGAUGGAUCCACAGUGCAAGCACGGGUGAGUUCCAUUUCGGAACUGGAAGUAUGCGGAGAUAUAUCACGGGCAAAGUUGAGGCGUGCUAAUCCUUUUCUCAAAUUUGAAGUGGCAUUUUCAGUUAUUUAUGUGCUGGCAAAAGCAAGAUCCAUGGUACCAACAGAGGUUGGAUGAGGUAGAGGAAACUAGUUUUUUAUAACAUGGUAAAUCAAACUUUGAUUUCUCGUUAAUAAAUUUGUUUACAUGUAGUCUAUGAAGCAUUGAUAUGGAUAUGAAUAUUAGAUAUGAUAUAGCA